AAACACAGCUUGUUAGAGCUGAGCUGCCCAACUACAGCAGCAGCCGGCCCCUAGGACAGAGCAGGGACCUCAACUACACUGAUCACCAGCCCCGUCGGACCCAGACCCAGCCACCAGCUCUGGCUCAUCUUGCCCCAGUGCCAUGACCUUCUCGGAGAUCCUGGACCGUGUGGGAAGCAUGGGCCGUUUCCAGUUCCUGCAUGUAGCCAUACUGGGCCUCCCGAUCCUCAACAUGGCCAACCACAACCUGCUGCAGAUCUUCACAGCCGCCACCCCUGUCCACCACUGCCGCCCGCCCCCUAAUGCCUCCGCAGGGCCUUGGGUGAUCCCCAUGGGCCCAAAUGGGAAGCCUGAGAGAUGCCUCCGUUUUGUACAUCCAUCCAAUGCCAGCCUGCCCAAUGACACCCAGAGGUCCACGGAGCCAUGCCUGGAUGGCUGGGUCUACAACAGCACCAAGGACUCCAUUGUGACAGAGUGGAACUUGGUGUGCAACUCCAACAAACUGAAGGAGAUGGCCCAGUCUAUCUUCAUGGCAGGCAUACUGAUUGGAGGGCUCGUGCUUGGAGACCUGUCUGACAGGUUUGGCCGCAGGCCCAUCCUGACCUGCAGCUACCUGCUGCUGGCAGCCAGCGGCUCCGGUGCAGCCUUCAGCCCCACCUUCCCCGUCUACAUGGUCUUCCGCUUCCUGUGUGGCUGUGGCAUCUCAGGCAUUACCCUGAGCACCGUCAUCUUGAAUGUGGAAUGGGUGCCUACCCGGAUGCGGGCCAUCAUGUCGACAGCACUCGGGUACUGCUACACCGUUGGCCAGUUCAUUCUGCCCGGCCUGGCCUACGCCAUCCCCCAGUGGCGUUGGCUGCAGUUAACUGUGUCCAUUCCCUUCUUCAUCUUCUUCCUAUCAUCCUGGUGGACACCAGAGUCCAUACGCUGGUUGGUCCUGACUGGAAAGUCCUCGAAGGCCCUGAAGAUACUCCGGCGGGUGGCCGCCUUCAAUGGCAAGAAGGAAGAGGGAGAAAGGCUCACCUUGGAGGAGCUCAAACUCAACCUGCAGAAGGAGAUCUCCUUGGCCAAGGCCAAGUACACCGCAGCUGACCUGUUCCGGAUACCCAUGCUGCGCCGCAUGACCUUCUGUCUUUCCCUGGCCUGGUUUGCUACCGGUUUUGCCUACUAUAGUUUGGCUAUGGGUGUGGAAGAAUUUGGAGUCAACCUCUACAUCCUCCAGAUCAUCUUUGGUGGGGUCGAUAUCCCAGCCAAGUUCAUCACCAUCCUCUCCUUAAGCUAUCUGGGCCGGCAUACCACUCAGGCCGCUGCCCUACUCCUGGCAGGAGGGGCCAUCUUGGCUCUCACCUUUGUGCCCUUGGACUUGCAGACCGUGAGGACAGUAUUGGCUGUGUUUGGGAAGGGAUGCCUAUCCAGCUCCUUCAGCUGCCUCUUCCUCUACACAAGUGAAUUAUAUCCCACAGUCAUCAGGGGAGCCAUCCUUUAUGAACCCCACACACAGGCUGCCAAUCCCUACUCUGAACCCUCGCAGGCAAACAGGUAUGGGCGUAAGUAACCUGUGGACCCGUGUGGGAAGCAUGUUGUCCCCGCUGGUGAAAAUCACGGGUGAGGUACAGCCCUUCAUCCCCAAUAUCAUCUACGGGAUCACCGCCCUCCUCGGGGGCAGUGCUGCCCUCUUCCUGCCUGAGACCCUGAAUCAGCCCUUGCCAGAGACUAUCGAAGACCUGGAAAACUGGUCCCUGCGGGCAAAGAAGCCAAAGCAGGAGCCAGAGGUGGAAAAGGCCUCCCAGAGGAUCCCUCUGCAGCCUUACGGACCAGACCUGGGCUCCAGCUGAGGACAACGGAACCCCCUUUCCCUGCCCUCCAGAGACUGAUCCUAGCCAGGCACCUUAGGGGUACAGGGAGGCCCCAGAUAGGUCCACCCUCCUAGGAUGAAGCCUUCUGAGAGCUUGGUGAAGGUGUCUCCAUCACCACCACCAGAGCCUCCUGCCCAGCCCUGGCCAGUUCGAAGGUUCAGCCAUAGACCUUUCCAUACCCAUCCCUGCCCUCGUUCUCCCUGCAACCCAGGCCCUGCCAUUCUUCUGUCCAGCCCUUCCCCACUGGCCACCUUCCUCCACUGUCCUGGUUCUCUUCCCCUGAGGUCCCCUGAUGUCCCCUGGCUCAGUCCUAACAAGACUGAGUCUUAACAAGAUAAGAAGUCCUCCCCUUCUUGACUCCCACACUUUUCUUUGAUGGGAGGUUUCAAUAAACAGCAAUAAGAACUCAA